rnacentral:misc_RNA from 1 species
GAUGAAGAACGUAGCGAAAUGCGAUAAGUAGUGUGAAUUGCAGAAUUCAGUGAAUCAUCGAAUCUUUGAACGCACAUUGCGCCCUUUGGUAUUCCUUAGGGCAUGCCUGUUCGAGCGUCAUCUACACCCUCAAGCACAGCUUGGUGAUGGGCGCCUGUCCCGCCCCCCACGGGGGCGCGGACUCGCCUCAAAUGCAUUGGCGGCCGGCGACCUGGCUUCGAGCGCAGCAGAAACGCGUACUCGGGGACCGGGCGCCCGCUCCCAGAAGCCAACCCACCCAGUUUGACCUCGGAUCAGGUAGGGAUACCCGCUGAACUUAAGCAUAUCAAUAAGCGGAGGA